rnacentral:rRNA from 1 species
UACGGGGGGGGCAAGCGUUGUUCGGAAUUACUGGGCGUAAAGGGCUCGUAGGCGGCCGACUCAGUCGGACGUGAAAUCCCCGGGCUCAACCCGGGAACUGCGUCCGAUACUGGAAGGCUUGAAUCCGGGAGAGGGAUGCGGAAUUCCAGGUGUAGCGGUGAAAUGCGUAGAUAUCUGGAGGAACACCGGUGGCGAAGGCGGCAUCCUGGACCGACAUUGACGCUGAACGGCGAAAGCUAGGGGAGCAAACGGG